rnacentral:rRNA from 1 species
UACGGAGGGUGCAAGCGUUGUCCGGAAUCACUGGGCGUAAAGGGCGCGUAGGCGGCUCAUGAAGGCUGUGGUGAAAGUCCGGGGCUCAACCUCGGAUCGGCCGUGGCGACUCGUGGGCUGGAGCACUGUAGAGGCGGGUGGAAUUCCGGGUGUAGCGGUGGAAUGCGUAGAGAUCCGGAAGAACACCGGUGGCGAAGGCGGCUCUCUGGGACGGUACUGACGCUGAGACGCGAAAGCGUGGGGAGCGAACAGG